rnacentral:rRNA from 1 species
GACGAACGCUGGCGGCGUGCCUAAUACAUGCAAGUCGAACGCAGUGGGGACGGGUGAGUAACACGUGGCUAACCUCCCAUCAGAGGGCGUAACACUUGGCAACAGGUGCUAAACCCAUACUGAUGGAUGGACCCGCAGUGCAUUAGCUAGUAGGUGAGGUAACGGCCCACCAAGGCCACGAUGCAUAGCCGGCCUGAGAGGGUGAGCGGCCACACUGGGACUGAGACACGGCCCAGACUCCUACGGGAGGCAGCAGUAGGGAAUCUUCGGCAAUGGACGAAAGUCUGACCGAGCAACGCCGCGUGAGUGAAGAAGGUUUUCGGAUCGUAAAACUCUUUUGUUGGAGAAGCGGUAUCUAACCAGGAAGCCACGGCUAACUACGUGCCAGCCGCCGCGGUAAUAC